rfam:Myotis lucifugus cont2.26600, whole genome shotgun sequence.
GGUGGUUCUCAGGUGACGCACCCCAGAAUCGGGCUCCCUCCUCUCUGGUUCUGGGUGUGUCACCUGAGAACCAUA